rnacentral:rRNA from 1 species
ACGCCACUUAGUGGAUGACUCGGCUUUAGUAGAGCAUAGUGCCGCGGCAAGCAGCGAAAUUCGUAGGGGAGGUGCAGGCACCCCUUGAUCCUACGGUAGCACAGAGCCCUGUAAUGGGCUAAUACGCCGAAGAUUAAAACAUUCUAGUAUCGGCAGGAAGAGAAACCAAUUGGGAUUUGGUUAGUAAGGGUGACUGAAAGCCAAAAAGCGCGUUCUGAAUCCUACCAAGGCAACUUGGAGGAGAUGUGGGGCGGAUUAACCAUGUAGGGAGCACAAGCAACUGGAAAGUUGCGCCAUAGAGAGUGAAAGCCUCGUGUGCAAAUCGUCAUGGUGUGAUGCCAAAAGAGUAGUGUCCUUCGAAUAUGGGGCAUGAAUACGGGAGUAUCAACUUCCAACGCUAAAUAUAACUAAAGACCGAUAGCGUAUGAGUAACGUGAGUGAAAGUUGAAAAGAUCCCCGGAAGGGGAGUGAAAAGACCUGAAACUAAGUGGCUACAGUUUGGUAUGGCAUGAAAGGAACGACGUCUCCCGAAGUGACUGUCCGCAGGGGCAUGAUCGAGGGAGAAAUACCGAUGUCAUACCGUUCUUCUCGAAGCAAGAGCCAAGGAGUUGUUUAGCGUGGCGAGGCGAAAGCCGAAGCGAAAGCAAGUGGGUUUUUACCCGUCGUCUGAAAAGGCGAUUAGUCACUCUUUACAGACCCGAAGCUGAUGUGAUCUAAGCGUGGGCAGGUCGAAGUCCGCCUGACGGCGGAUGGAGGACCGCAAAUGUUGCUAGUAUAUUCUGCUCAUGUGACCCACGUUUAGGGGUGAUAGUCCAGUCGAACUCAGCAAUAGCGGGUUCCCCUCGAAGUAUAUCUUAGUAUAGCCUCGCACGAGGCGGGCUAUGGGGUAGGGCACUAAUCAUUUGGAGCGGACUCGAAAGGGUUCACCGAAUUGUUAAACCUCGAAUCCAUAGCCGCCGCAGACUGCGGGAGUCGGAUUCCGGCGGGUAAGCCGACGGGUCGAUACGGGAAAGGCCGUAACUAAGGUUAAGGUCCCUAAAUUUAGGCUAAGUGUGAAUCCACAAGAAGUUUAUGGUCUUAAACAGCCGGAAGGUAGGCUUAGAAGCAGCCAUCCUUUAAACAACGCGUAAUAGCGGACCGGUCUAGAUCCUAGAUUUCGAAGAUAAUCGGGACUAAGCCUAUUACCGAUACCUUAGAGUUCAUCCCUUAGGGGAUGAAACUGUUAGGGGGGCGAGCUGGCAGGGCUGAAGCAGGGUGGUAACCUCCUGUGGACCGGCCAGCUAUGAAUAUCUUGGUAUUAGUAGCAGCAUACCUAGGUGAAAAUCCUAGGCGCCGCAUAGCACGCGGGUUUCUGGGCCAUGUUUAUCAGCCCAGAGUAAGGCGAUCCUAAGCGCACCGGUAAUUCCGACUGCGCAAAAGGGAAACGGGUUAAAAUUCCCGUCCUAGCCAAAUAGACGCGGCAACGCAAAUUCCGCUCUCGACGGCUUGGGAUAGGCCAUGCAGAGGAGACUCUGCUUAACUAAGGCAAUGCCAUGGAGACUGAUCGUCAGGAGAAGUGGUAUAAUCUUAGGAAUGUUCAAGAUGGCUGAUUCCUGGGUUCCAUGAAAAGAGCGCGGUUUCGAUUUUGGCUAAUCGUACCUAGAACUAUUACAGGUGCUGCUGGCAGAAAAAGCCAAGGCGUGUCAGGAUAACCCUGCAAAGGGAACUCGGCCAAUUAGUCGCUUACCUUCGGAAUAAGCGAUGCCUGCAUAUGUUAAAGCAUUCGCAGGCCUCAGUAACUAGGGGAGACCGACUGUUUACCAAAAACACAACUCAUAGCAAAGCGGAAACGCUUAGUAUUAUGGGUGACGCCUGCUCACUACCGGUACGUGAAAGCCUGGUUCAACGGGCCUAAGCGCCGGCAAAGAGCGGGGGUAACUCUGACCCUCAACUUAUACAGGGGGCAUAAAAUUUGGCUAUAUGCUGGAAACUCCAAUGCCAUCCUUCCAGAGCAUGGGAAAAUGGGAUGCGCAGAUGCGGACAAUCAGCAGGAAACGGUGAUUUAUAUGUUGCAAGAAUACAAUGACUUGGUAAAGGUGAGCAACCUUCCAAAGAAAAGAAAAGAGCUUGCAUAUUAUAUCGUCGGUUUUGCAGACGCGGAAGGGUGCUUCAACGUUGCACUGAAAAAACAGAAAGAUACCCGAUUCGGUUGGGUGUUGGACCCUGUUUUUCAUGUAACGCAGCACAAGUCCCAUCGGCACAUAUUAGAGCUAUGCAAAAGGUUUCUCGGGUGCGGAAGAGUGAUUCCAAAGCCCGGGCAGCCAGACGUAUUGCAAUUCUAUGUUGAUAACCGGCGGCAAUUGCAUGAAAAAAUAAUUCCGUUUUUUGAGCGCUACAAACUGCUUGUAAAAGCGCGCGACUUUGAAAUUUUUUCAAAAAUUGUGCGUGAUUUAGAGCAGAAGAAGCAUUCAAAUAUUGAUUCUUUCAAGGAGAUGGUAAAAAUCGCCUUUGAAAUGAACCAGAACGGAAAGCAAAGAAGAUAUAUUCUUUCAGAAGUGAUGAAAGACUUGUCUUUAACUGGAUCCUCAGAGACUAUACGCCAAACUACUGGUGAAAGCCAGAGAUGAUAUAGUCCAGCACAAUUUUUCUUCGGAAUUUUUGUGUUGCUUGAGGUAGCGUAAUACCUCGCCGCUUAAUUGGUGGCUUGCAUGAAUGGCGUAACGAGUCUCCCACUGUCCCUUGCAGGGACCUGGUGAACCUACUACACUGUGAGUAUGCAGUGGACUUCCAAGGGGAAACGAAGACCCCAUGGAGCUUUACUAUAGUCUGAUGUUGUAAUAUAGGGUUGCUAACGCAGCGUAAAUGGGAGCCGUUAUGUCCGUCCUUUCGGGGGCGGGAUAGGCGCCGUUGUAACACCAUUUUAGUGGCCUUGUAUUGCUUACCGUAAGGGACAGCGUCAGGUGGAUAGUUUGGCUGGGGCGGUACACCCUCGAUAAGAAAACAAGGGUGCCCAAUGCUCAGCUUAGGUGCGUCAGAAAUGCACCGUUAAGGGUUAAAGACAAAUGCUGGGCUGACUGUAUUCCUACAAGCGUGGAAUGCAGAGAAGAAAUUCGGGCUUAACGAACCUUGGUGGCCUUUUGAUGAGGCCCCAAGCUGUCAGACAAGCUACCCUGGGGGUAACAGGCUCGUCGCGGGCGAGAGAUGGAUAAAAUCCUCUUUUUUAACGUGUCGAA